rnacentral:tRNA from 1 species
UGGCUCAGACGGUGAAGCAUCUGUCUGCAAUACAGAAGACCCGGGUUCGAUCCCUGG